rnacentral:lncRNA from 1 species
UCAUCUUGGGCUAGGUAUGAGAAAAGUCCUUGAUACAGAAGCAUACAUGAUCUGGGUCUUCUCACCAACCACCUUGUCUCCUUUAUCCAACUUUUUCACAAGAACAGCAAAAAAGAACCAAAAAUAUUUAAAACAAUUACACAACUCAGGAGAUCAAUCCUCACAUAUUUCAUUCAUUCUAAUUAUAUUAUUUUAAAAAAAUCUGCAAAGCACUCACUUCUUGUUUCGGAAUAGGCACACUACGACAAUAAAAUAACUCUGUCGUCUUUUCUACUCAAGAAAGCCAAGCCAUUCUUUUGUUAAGUUCCAUGAACAACUUUGGGCGUUGUCCUUACCUAAAUGAUACAUAGAAAUAAACCACAAGGAAACAAAAGUGAAUUCCAAAGUCCAAAGCCAUAAUCAUAUUUAAGAAAGGAGAUGGCCGUAUAUAUGGCGGAUCCUAUCAAUAAGUUAUUAUAGUUUUCAA